AAAGCCAACAGAUUUUUCUUUAAAAAUGUGAAACUAGCAGUAUAAACCAGUGUUUUGAAGUACAAAGGUAAAUAGCAGAAGAUAUCAGUGAACGCAUGUAAAGUGGCUGUCUUGUGGGAGAGGAAACUGAAGACAUAGUGGAGACUAUUGUUUUUGUUUUGCAACGUUUGGGGCUGACUUUCCAGAAUUACCCAAGAUUGACCUGUGGGAGAUAUCUGGGCCCCCUGUGCCUUGCAAAGCUUCACAUGGGUGAUGAUGUUGAAGACCAGGUGCGGAUCAAUGGGGGCUCCAUGGCAAAUGAGAAACAGAGGAAGAAGAACUAACCUUCCUACCCACCAGUGCUCACUGGCACUCAACAUAGCCUUGCUCUUGUUUCUGGAGGAAGGGCCAUUGGGAUCAACUUAAGAACAUGGCAGAACAGAGAUGCUUGCUGAAUUAGUUGGUUGGAAGCACAAAAUUAUUUUAGUAGUUGUUGCAAAUUGCUUCACUUCUCUGGGUUUAAGUGUAGAACUCAAUGGUAAUGUGAAUAGACUUGAUCUCCAUAGGAUCAUUGUGGGGACUCAAUGAGAUAGAUUCUGUAGAGCUUUGGGCUUGAUUGGUGCACAGUGUUCAAUGAGUGUGCUGGGAGAAACUCUUCUCCUCACUUCUGGUGUUUCCUUCCAGGAGGAGAGAGGUCCCUCUGGGUAGCACCCCUGGCCUCUCUGUCUGCUCCCUGGGUUCUGCCUUUGGAAGUGGGAGGUGAUGUGCUUGGUAGGGAAGCUUGAGGGCAGGAGCUGGGUCUGGGUAGCUCAGCUGCUUCCUCUUCCAUUCUCAGGAGCCAGCUGUCUAUGGGAAGCACCCAUUCUGGUCAGCCCCCAUAAGCCAUAAAUGUAUAGGGGCAGGCUGGAUCCUUCGGGGAAGGCGGCCCCAGUUAGGGUGGCUAAGUCUGCACAUUCAGGAUAGUGUUCCUAGCUGACACAUUGGGCCUAGUGCCUAGUGAACAAGCAGUGGAACGUGGGGAGCAAAUUAAUACUCAAGGACUGAGGCUUUUGAGGGGACCAGGCCAUCAGAUUUUUAUUUUAUUUUAUUUUAUAUUUUUACAGGCAAGCUGCUAUUUUUAUACAGGCAUAGGCCUUAGCAAAAGUGGGUUGAGUUGGUUCCUGAGGCCUUAGGCUAAGAGCGGCUGCAGCUCACCCUGGGCAAAACCGUGCCUGCCUCAGCAUGGGCCACCAGGUUCUCUGAAGAUGCCAUUAGGCCUUAGGGCCCCUGUGGACAGGCAUUGUAGAUAUGCUUUGAUUAUAGGGAAAAGAAAGUUUACCCAUAUAUAGACUCUUUUAGUGUCUGACUGCUGUUGUAACAAAUUGCCACACUUAGUGGCUUAAGACAACACAACCUUCUUAUCUUGCUGUUCUGGAGGUCAGAAGUCCAAAAGGGUUUCACUGGGUCAAAAUCAAGGUGCAUAGUCACGCUCCCUCCAGAGGCUCUAGGAGAGAAUCAAUUUCCAUGCCUUUUCCAGCAUCUAGAAGCCCUCUGUCUUCCUUUGCUGAUGAUCCUUUCCUCCUCCUUCAAAGCCAACAGUGUAGCAUCUUCUCAUCCCUCUCUGUUCUGUUGUUAUAUCAACUUGACUUCACUCUGAGCCUCCUGCCUCCUCUUAGAAGGACCCUGGUGAUUACAUUUAGGACCCACUGGGGUCAUCUAGCAUAAUCUUUCCAUCUCAAGAUCUUUAAUAUCAUCACAUCUUCAAUAUCCCUUUACCAUAGCCACAGGCUCCAGAGACUCAGCCAUAAACAUCUUUGGACAGAAACAUCAUUAUUCAACCUACCACAUAGACCUUUUUCUUUAAUUUUUAAUUUUUAUGAGUACAUAGUAGGUAUAUAUAUUUAUGGGGUACAUGAGGUACUUUAAUACAGGCAUAUAAUGCUUAAUAAUCCCAUUAGGGUAAAUGGGGUAGCCAUCAUCUCAAGAAUUUGUCCUUACUUUAGUGUUACAAACAAUCCAAUUAUACUCCUUUAAUUAUUUUAAGAUGUAUAAUAAAUUUGGAUUGACUGUCAUCAUCCUGUUGUCUAUAUUUUUGUAAAUAUUAACUAUCCCUCCUCUCCCCUACACUACCCUUCCCAGCCUCUGGUAACCCUCCUUCUACUCUCUAUCUCCGUGAGUUCAAUUGUUUGAAUUUUUAGCUCCCACAAAUAAGUGAGAACAUGUGAAGUUUGUCUUUCUGUGCCUGGUUUAUUCCUUUUUUUUUUUUGAAAUGGAGUCUCACUCUUGUCGCCCAGGCUGGAGUGCAAUGGCCACGAUCUCAGCUCACUGCAAGCUCCGCUGCCCUGGUUCACGCCAUUCUCCUGCCUCAGCCUCCCGAGUAGGGGCCUGGCUUAUUUCACUUAACACUUCAUUACGUCCUCUAGUUCCAUCCAUGUUGUUACAAAUGACAGGAUCUCAUUCUUUUUCAUGGCUGAAUAGUACUCCGUUUCAUAUAUGUACCAUACGUUCUUUGUCCAGGUGUCUGUUGAUGGACACUUAGAUUGCUUCUAAAUCUUGACUAUUGUGAAUAGUGGUGCAAUAAACAUGAGAGUGCAGAUAUCUCUUUGAUAUCCUGCCACACAGACUUUUGAUACAUUAAGAGGAGGAAUGAUUACCUAUCGCUUUUAUGAUCUUUCAGUACAAUUUAUACUGCACCCACGUUCCAUGCCCUACAAUACCUAGUGUGAGCCUGCACCAUUGUAUUGCUAGUGUGAAGCUGAGGUAGACAGCGGAGGGAGGCUGCCAAAAACCCCAUGUCUUUCUAUGUUGCCUUGUGGUACAGGGCUAAGGAGAGCUGGGAAUUAAUGUGGCUUCCCCACAGGCUCUUAGGGUUCACACACCCCACCAUAUGGUCUACAGUUGCCUCUGGAAUAAUCAUGGCCUUGGAUUUAGA
rnacentral:lncRNA from 10 species